rnacentral:lncRNA from 1 species
GGCGUCUGAGCCACCUCCCGGAUGCCCGGGGCCGCUCCCGGGGCCGCUGACCUCCGUCAGCCCGCUCCGGCUGCGCGCCCGGCUCCGAGGCUCCGCCCCGGUAUCAGCCCGCUCCCCCCUCUCCCAGACGCCCCCUCCCCACGUGCGGGUGCGGGGGUCAGACCCGGCCUCUGCGGACAGAGGAUGAUCUGAGACGACCGCCAGGGAUUCGGGACGGUGCGCAGGGGUGCUGGCCACAGAGCCUGGAUACGGCAGCGACGCCAGGCUGAGCCAGGGAGAGGUUUUCAGAGGCUGCGGGACCGAGGGGGAGGGACACAGAGGCAGUGGGCGGGCGGGGACCCGGGCACCAGUGGCAGCAGAGUGGGUCUGCCAGAGGCUGUCAGACAUUUCUGGCCCGUAGUUCCCGUGGGAGGUGUCGAGGGACUGUGAAGAGGAAUCUCCCAAUAAUGAAUUCGGUGUCAGGGAACCCGUACCCCCCUCCCCCCAGCUACACCUGCUUCCCUGGCAGCCUCUGGCUUCUCUCCACAAAAAAUGCAGGAUGACAGUUCUCCCUCAGGGGCAGCCCUAAGGGAAACUUGACUUCCCCAAGCUCAGCACCUAUUGGGGUGUAACGCUCUACGUCCACAGGAAGGGGAUUUAACCUCCUAUCCUCAGCAUCACCAGGGUCCCUGCCCUGCCCAGCACCAGUCUGAGUCCUGCCAAGGCAAUCUCAUAUCCCGUCAGGACCGUGUCGGAGAUGCUGGAACCCAAACACCUCAGGUCUCACCCUUCUUUGGCUCACCUGAAGGCUAGGGCUGCCCUGGGACGACUCCUCCUCUUGCUUGCCUGCAACAUUGUGGAUGCACAUCACUUGAGCUCUAUGUUCCAGGGACAAAUUCCUGGGUACUCACAGAGUCAAGUGCUGUGCUGGUCACUUUGGAGAUGAGGUUGGACUUAUUGCCCCCAUUUUAAAGAUGAAAAAACUGAAGUAUAGAGAUAUUUCAUGUUCCUGGGCAUGUGCUACAAGGUCCCAGGGUUUCAAGGUCAUGAGUCUACUUGAAACUUGCUUUGAUUCCUGUCCCAGUUCUUCCUCUUAUUGGAUUUGCCAUCAUGAACUGGUCACUUUGUCUUUCUGAGUCUUUUAUUCCCAUGAUGGGGUAAUCAUGAUGCGUCCCCUUAGGCUACUGCAGGGAUAACUGUGAUGCUGUCCACAAAGGAUGUUUAAGUGCCCAGCAAAUAGAUGCUAUGGAUAGUGUGAUGUCCUUGGACCUUCCUGCAUGGGUUGUAACUGUAUUAAUCUUCACAUGACACAGUGCCAAGCACACAGGAAGCAUUACAAAAAUAAAUAUAAAAAAGAAAACAUCUAUUAUCAUUAUUAUUAUUGCUGUGCUUGGGGCUUGGUAAGGUAAAUCAAAUCAGCCUUGUAGGAUGGGGGUGGGGACAGAAGCCCACUCACCAAAUGUCUGACUAUUUCAAUGUUGUAACUCACACUAAUAACCUGUUAAAUAAAAUAUGUUCUAGCCUCCU